UCCUACGGGAGGCAGCAGUGGGGAAUAUUGCGCAAUGGGCGAAAGCCUGACGCAGCGACGCCGCGUGAGGGAUGAAGGUCUUCGGAUCGUAAACCUCUGUCAGCAGGGAAGAACGGUCACUGUGCUAAUCAGCAGUGAAUUGACGGUACCUGCAAAGGAAGCACCGGCUAACUCCGUGCCAGCAGCCGCGGUAAUACGGAGGGUGCGAGCGUUAUCCGGAUUUAUUGGGUUUAAAGGGUGCGCAGGCGGUCUGUUAAGUCAGCGGUCAAAGCCCGGGGCUCAACCCCGGCCCGCCGUUGAAACUG
rnacentral:rRNA from 1 species